rnacentral:rRNA from 1 species
AUGAACGCUGGCGGCGUGCCUAAUACAUGCAAGUCGAGCGAACAGACGAGGAGCUUGCUCCUCUGACGUUAGCGGCGGACGGGUGAGUAACACGUGGAUAACCUACCUAUAAGACUGGGAUAACUUCGGGAAACCGGAGCUAAUACCGGAUAAUAUAUUGAACCGCAUGGUUCAAUAGUGAAAGACGGUUUUGCUGUCACUUAUAGAUGGAUCCGCGCCGCAUUAGCUAGUUGGUAAGGUAACGGCUUACCAAGGCAACGAUGCGUAGCCGACCUGAGAGGGUGAUCGGGCACACUGGAACUGAGACACGGUCCAGACUCCUACGGGAGGCAGCAGUAGGGAAUCUUCCGCAAUGGGCGAAAGCCUGACGGAGCAACGCCGCGUGAGUGAUGAAGGUCUUCGGAUCGUAAAACUCUGUUAUUAGGGAAGAACAAAUGUGUAAGUAACUAUGCACGUCUUGACGGUACCUAAUCAGAAAGCCACGGCUAACUACGUG